rnacentral:rRNA from 1 species
UACGAGGGGGGCUAGCGUUGCUCGGAAUCACUGGGCGUAAAGCGCACGUAGGCGGAUUGUUAAGUCAGGGGUGAAAUCCUGGAGCUCAACUCCAGAGCUGCCUUUGAUACUGGCGAUCUUGAGUCCGGGAGAGGUGAGUGGAACUGCGAGUGUAGAGGUGAAAUUCGUAGAUAUUCGCAAGAACACCAGUGGCGAAGGCGGCUCACUGGCCCGGUACUGACGCUGAGGUGCGAAAGCGUGGGGAGCAAACAGG